GCCCCGGUGGCGGAACGGUAGACGCAGCGGACUUAAAAUCCGCCGCCCUUGCGGGCGUGUGGGUUCGAUACCCACCCGGGGCA
rnacentral:tRNA from 1 species